AAGCAGGAUAAGUUACAGUCCCCCUUCACACGUCAAGUUUCCUACUAUCCCUGUCUGUCUGCGUCCCGCGGCAGGCAGGGACGCUUGGUGUCAGACAC
rnacentral:snoRNA from 1 species